AACGAACGCUGGCGGCAGGCCUAACACAUGCAAGUCGAACGAACACGUCGGAGUUAGUGGCGGACGGGUGAGUAACACGUGGGAACGUGCCUUUUGGUACGGUAUAACUCAGGGAAACUUGUCCUAAUACCGAAUGUGCCCUUCGGGGGAAAGAUUUAUCGCGAUAGGAUCGGCCCGCGUCUGAUUAGGUGGUUGGUGAGGUAAUGGCACACCAUGGCGACGAUCAGUAGCUGGUCGGUGAGGAUGACACGCCCGACUGGGAAUGAGACACGGACCAGACUCCUACGGGAGGCAGGAGUGGGGAAUCUUGCGGAAUGGGGGCAAGCCUGACAAAGCCGUGCCGCGUGAAUGAUGAAGGUGUUAGGAAUGUAAAUUUCUUUCUCCGGAGACGAGAGUGACGGUACCGGGAGAAGAAGCCCCGGCUAACUACGUG
rnacentral:rRNA from 1 species